AGAAUUUUUGUAUGCAUGCUUACUGAUCUAGUAGGGGGAAAAUAUAAAAGACAGGUUUCAAAAAUGAAUCCUCCUGCAACCCAGAACUCACUGUUCAGCAUGAGUUUUGAUACCCGUAAGAAGAAAU
rnacentral:snoRNA from 1 species